rnacentral:rRNA from 1 species
UACGUAGGUGGCAAGCGUUAUCCGGAAUUAUUGGGCGUAAAGAGCGCGCAGGUGGUUAAUUAAGUCUGAUGUGAAAGCCCACGGCUUAACCGUGGAGGGUCAUUGGAAACUGGUUGACUUGAGUGCAGAAGAGGGAAGUGGAAUUCCAUGUGUAGCGGUGAAAUGCGUAGAGAUAUGGAGGAACACCAGUGGCGAAGGCGGCUUCCUGGUCCGCAACUGACACUGAGGCGCGAAAGCGUGGGGAGCAAAUAGG